GCAUAUCAAUAAGCGGAGGAAAAGAAACCAACAGGGAUUGCCCUAGUAACGGCGAGUGAAGCGGCAACAGCUCAAAUUUGAAAUCUGGCCUCGGCCCGAGUUGUAAUUUGUAGAGGAAGCUUUUGGCGCGGCACCUUCUGAGUCCCCUGGAACGGGGCGCCAUAGAGGGUGAGAGCCCCGUAUAGUUGGAUGCCUAGCCUCUGUAAAGCUCCUUCGACGAGUCGAGUAGUUUGGGAAUGCUGCUCAAAAUGGGAGGUAAAUUUCUUCUAAAGCUAAAUACCGGCCAGAGACCGAUAGCGCACAAGUAGAGUGAUCGAAAGAUGAAAAGCACUUUGAAAAGAGGGUUAAAUAGCACGUGAAAUUGUUGAAAGGGAAGCGCUUGUGACCAGACUUGCGCCGGGCUGAUCAUCCGGUGUUCUCACCGGUGCACUCUGCCCGGCUCAGGCCAGCAUCGGUUCUCGCGGGGGGACAAAGGCCCUGGGAACGUAGCUCCUCCGGGAGUGUUAUAGCCCAGGGCGUAAUGCCCUCGCGGGGACCGAGGUUCGCGCUCUGCAAGGAUGCUGGCGUAAUGGUCACCAGCGACCCGUCUUGAAACACGGACCAAGGAGUCAAGGUUUUGCGCGAGUGUUUGGGUGUAAAACCCGCACGCGUAAUGAAAGUGAACGUAGGUGAGAGCUUCGGCGCAUCAUCGACCGAUCCUGAUGUAUUCGGAUGGAUUUGAGUAGGAGCGUUAAGCCUUGGACCCGAAAGAUGGUGAACUAUGCUUGGAUAGGGUGAAGCCAGAGGAAACUCUGGUGGAGGCUCGCAGCGGUUCUGACGUGCAAAUCGAUCGUCAAAUCUGAGCAUGGGGGGCGAAAGACUAAUCGAACCAU
rnacentral:rRNA from 1 species